UUGAUCCUGGCUCAGAACGUACGCUGGCGGCACGCCUAACACAUGCAAGUCGAACGCAGUAGCAAUACUGAGUGGCAGACGGGUGAGUAACAUGUGGGAAUCUGCCUUGUGGUUCAGGACAACAUUGGGAAACCGAUGCUAAUACUGGAUAAGCCCUUACGGGGAAAGUUUUAAUGCCAUAAGAUGAGCCCGCAUUUGAUUAGUUAGUUGGUGAGGUAAUGGCUCACCAAGACAAUGAUCAAUAGCUGAUCUGAGAGGAUGAUCAGCCACACUGGGACUGAGACACGGCCCAGACUCCUACGGGAGGCAGCAGUGGGGAAUCUUGCACAAUGGAGGAAACUCUGAUGCAGCGAUGCCGCGUGAGUGAAGAAGGCCUUUGGGUUGUAAAGCUCUUUUGUAGGGGAAGAUAAUGACUGUACCCUAAGAAUAAGGUCCAGCUAACUUCGUGCCAGCAGCCGCGGUAAUACGAAGGGACCUAGCGUAGUUCGGAAUUACUGGGCGUAAAGCGCGCGUAGGCCGUUGAGUUAGUUAAUUGUGAAAUCCCAAAGCUUAACUUUGGAACUGCAAUUAAAACUGCUCGACUAGAGUUUGAUAGAGGAAAGCGGAAUACAUAGUGUAGAGGUGAAAUUCGUAGAUAUUAUGUAGAACACCAGUUGCGAAGGCGGCUUUCUGGAUCAACACUGACGCUGAGGCGCGAAAGUAUGGGUAGCAAAGAGGAUUAGAUACCCUCGUAGUCCAUACCAUAAACGAUGAUUGCUAGAUGUUGGAAAUUUAUUUUCAGUAUCGCAGCUAACGCAUUAAGCAAUCCGCCUGGGGAGUACGACCGCAAGGUUAAAACUCAAAUGAAUUGACGGGGACCCGCACAAGCGGUGGAGCAUGUGGUUUAAUUCGAAGAUACGCGCAGAACCUUACCAACCCUUGACA
rnacentral:rRNA from 1 species